CCUGCGGAGGGAUCAUUACACAAUAUGAAAGCGGGUUGGGACCUCACCUCGGUGAGGGCUCCAGCUUGUCUGAAUUAUUCACCCAUGUCUUUUGCGCACUUCUUGUUUCCUGGGCGGGUUCGCCCGCCACCAGGACCAAACCAUAAACCUUUUUGUAAUUGCAAUCAGCGUCAGUAAACAAUGUAAUUAUUACAACUUUCAACAACGGAUCUCUUGGUUCUGGCAUCGAUGAAGAACGCAGCGAAAUGCGAUACGUAGUGUGAAUUGCAGAAUUCAGUGAAUCAUCGAAUCUUUGAACGCACAUUGCGCCCUUUGGUAUUCCAAAGGGCAUGCCUGUUCGAGCGUCAUUUGUACCCUCAAGCUUUGCUUGGUGUUGGGCGUCUUUGUCUCUCACGAGACUCGCCUUAAAAUGAUUGGCAGCCGACCUACUGGUUUCGGAGCGCAGCACAAUUCUUGCACUUUGAAUCAGCCUUGGUUGAGCAUCCAUCAAGACCACAUUUUUUUCAACUUUUGACCUCGGAUCAGGUAGGGAUACCCGCUGAACUUAAGCAUAUCAAA
rnacentral:rRNA from 1 species